CCUGAAAUAAAAUAUGGUUCUGCACAUUAACUGAUAUAAAAUACACAAUAUGAUUUUCCCAAUCUUUUUUUCUUUUGGAAUUGCAAUUCUCAUGGUCACAUGGUUCAUUUGAUUGUGUAAAUGAAGGGAAUAACAGAUAAAGAAGAAACGAUAUUGCAAGCCAGUUGUAUCAGGAGUCAGAACACAGCAUAGACAAAGAGCAAGUAUAGAGAAGGGCAUUAUUCAUGCAUGAAGUCUGAACACCUCUAUAGUACUGAACUAAAUACAUGUAAUCAUUCAGAUAUUUACUUAAAUAUAUCAACAAACAGGAUAGCUUCGUGAAAAGCCAAGAGGUACAACAGAUAAACUUGUAUACAAACAUAAAGAAGAGUAUUGAAAUGGUAAAAAACAAAUGAAGCAGCAAUGACCUAAAUACAUGUAAUCAUUCAUGUAUUUAAUGCAGCACAAACACUCAUGCACAAGCUAGCAAUUAGUCAGAAAUGAUCAGCCCAUCCAAAAACAAGCUUGAAACAUCCAAGCCAUAUGGCUGAUUUCAAAAAAUUUCUCAUGCA
rnacentral:lncRNA from 1 species